AGGACCGCUGUUGCGAGCACUCUCCGGCAUCCUGACGUAAUUGUCUCUCCGGAUGCAUACAACACGACGUCUCCUCACGCAGUAAGUCAUAUGGCGUAUACCUUGUCGGCAAUUGCAAUGAAAGAUACUCGCUUGUGUAGUUUGUAAGGUGAAGGAAUAGAUGCCACAAACCUUGUCCGCAAUUGCAACCGAAGAUUUUUGGAUGAACCGCAAGACGAUCAGAUGAAGGCUUUCAGUUGUCCAGGCCAGGCCAGGUGACCAAUGACGAUGAUAGAUCGGGUUCGAUUCAAGCUAUACGCUUGGUGUCUUUGGUUAUCGUGACUGGCGACUUGAGUCUAUCUCAUCUCAUGUCCAAAGCGCGGUGGCUGGGUCCCAGGCAUGCUUGCCACUUUGUUCUGCGGUCCUCAUCUAAGUUUCGACGGUGAUGACAUGGACUUAGGUUCAAGGAACGUGUUCCCCUUGAGUCAUUGUGGUUGAUUGAUGGGGGCAAUAAACAGUUGCGUGUCGCUAGUCAUUCAAUUGGUCCCCUUGUUUUAGAGUGUUGGCGGGAUAAGUCUUACGACUGUUAACAAUAGUAAGCAAUAGCUGGCCAGCGAUCCCCUACCUGAUCUCGAGGGGGAUGGAAUGACUGGGGAAUAGGCCUGUUGUUAACCUGCGGAAUUUCGUCGGACGAAAUGUCAGGCGUGUCCGUGUGGGACUUGUGCUAAACCAGUUUAGUACAUAUGACGAAGACAUUGGGCUCUUUGAAUAACAACAGUGUCCUUGACCUCCUUGUGCCUCACAACGCUAAUAAUAUACACCCCCUGAAAUCGACAAGACGGCGAAGAAGAAGGAGAGCCGGCCUCCAGCUCGAGAGCCAAGAAGACACUGGAUGGACCCCAAGGAUAUGUUGCUGCCAAUGUUGGAGCCAUACAGGGCAGCCCGAGCCAACAUUGUACAAGGGAUUCAAGGUCCAGGGCCAUGAGGACAAGGGACACGAGGACAAGGGACACGAGGACAAGGGACACGAGGACAAGGGACACAAGGACAAGGGACACAAAAGAUGAUUUUGCAGUCGAUCGCUCUCUGAAGGAGGUUUAAAGGAGGAUGCAAGCAUUGCCCUCUGCAGAAUGAGAUGAUGGCUGUCGAGAAGAUCCAACUACUCAACCAAGAUCUACAAUUCGUGCUAUGGUAGAUGUGACUCCCAAUGAUUUUGGAUGACGAAGGAAUCCAACGCAUAUAUGGUAAAUAUAAACAGAUG